UACAUGGGGUGCAAACGUUGCUCGGAAUCAUUGGGCGUAAAGCGCACGUAGGCGGUUCGUUAUGUCGGAUGUGAAAGCCCUCGGCUUAACCGGGGAAGUGCAUCCGAAACUGGCGAGCUUGAGUACUAAAGAGGGUCGCGGAAUUCCCGGUGUAGAGGUGAAAUUCGUAGAUAUCGGGAGGAACACCAGCGGCGAAGGCGGCGACCUGGGUAGAUACUGACGCUGAGGUGCGAAAGCGUGGGGAGCAAACAGG
rnacentral:rRNA from 1 species